GCCAACCUCUGAAUUGCAUGAAUGAAGACAGCUCUGAAAACUAAAUAACAGGCCACGCUUUGCAUACCACUACCAGAGGAUCAGAUACGGUAACAAGGAAGCAUUGUGUUGGGCACACUUAAGUGUGCGUCUCAGAUUAUAAGCUGGCUACUCAGCAGUGUGGAGUGGCAACUGGCAACUGGCAACCAUAAUGACAAAAAUGGAAGGCUCAACUGGCAGUGUCCAAAUCAUGUCUAGGCGUUUGGUCCAGCCAGAGUCAGGAAGCUCACUGGACAUGGUGCCAUCAGAGCUAGAGAUUGUUCACCUGACUGCAUGGGAUCUCGCUCUGUUCACGGUGGGCCACAUCCAGAAGGGGAUCCUCUUGCCCAAGGCUGGGACAGGAGGUGCACAACUCGUCGAUGACCUUGCUUCGUCCUUCGCCAGUGUGCUGGGCCAUUUUUAUCCACUGGCUGGCUGUCUCACUGCCUCAGAGAUCACAAAUGGUGUAGUAAGUCCAAGCCUUGCCAUCACUCUAUGCUGCAAUGACAAAUGCACCAAAUUCAUUCAUGCCAUGGCCCCUGAGGUCACUAUCAGUCGUGUUGUCCUUCCUGCUGAACAGGCUGCUGAAUGUGGAAGCACGCAUGGGCUCCAUCCCUGUGCUGGCCACGUAGGUCAGCGAGCUCGCAGAUGUCAUCUUCACUUCCAUGCUGUUGCUGCUCAACUAUGGCCAUAUGGAGCUGCAUUCUGGCUCUUCUUAAACACCUGAUGAAUUAUUGCUGUCGCACUGGGGCUCGGACGAGAACACACUUGGCUCCUACACGUUCGAUGGGGGCGAACAAACCCCGUGACCUGUACGAGAAGUUGUGCAUCCCCGUGGACAACAUGUUCUUCGCGGGAGAGGCCAUGAGUGUCAAGUACACAGGCACGGUGCAUAACACCUUCUCCGUUGGUGUCGUGGCAGCCGAUGAGUGAAAGAUGCGGGUUCUCGAGCGGUUCAGGGAGCUUGACAUGCUGGAGAUAUGCUACCCUGCCAUGGGCGAGGACAUCCCUAUAUCUGUCACGUUGCUCAUCUCUCGGCUCAUGACUUUUGGAGAGCCUCGGAUAGGCUAUCCUGCUUUUGUUGCAUACUUUGGUGAACAAGUCCCAAGAACAAUAUGUGUGACCCAUCAGAAUGAUAUUGUGUCGUAUUUACCACUGUAUUAUUAUUACCUAGGUGAAUGGACAUAUCACCACUUUGCUAGAGAGGUUUGAUGAUUGUCGAAAAGAAU